GACAGAGGGGGCAAGCGUUGCUCGGAAUCACUGGGCGUAAAGGGCGCGUAGGCGGGAUGGCAAGUCGGUCGUGAAAUCCUUCGGCUCAACCGAAGAACGUCGGCCGAUACUGCCGUUCUUGAGGGAUGCAGAGGAGAUUGGAAUUCCCGGUGUAGCGGUGAAAUGUGUAGAGAUCGGGAGGAACACCGGUGGCGAAGGCGGGUCUCUGGGCAACUACUGACGCUGAGGAGCGAAAGCGUGGGGAGCGAACAGG
rnacentral:rRNA from 1 species